rnacentral:rRNA from 1 species
UACGUAGGGGGCAAGCGUUGUCCGGAUUUAUUGGGCGUAAAGAGCGUGUAGGCGGCCAGAUAGGUCGGUUGUGAAAACUGGAGGCUCAACCUCCAGACGUCGACCGAAACCAUCUGGCUAGAGUCCGGAAGAGGAGAGUGGAAUUCCUGGUGUAGCGGUGAAAUGCGCAGAUAUCAGGAAAAACACCCGUGGCGAAGGCGGCUCUCUGGGACGGUACUGACGCUGAGACGCGAAAGCGUGGGGAGCGAACAGG